rnacentral:rRNA from 1 species
ACCAUGCACCGAAGCUGCGGCAGCGAACGUAUCACUUAAAGCGAUUCAGCGGGUUACGAUUGACGGAGCGAAGCGACGUCAAAGCGUAUACAAAGUCGAGUCGGUUUAAGGAUACGUUCGGAAGAUGUAACGGGGCUAAACCAUGCACCGAAGCUGCGGCAGCGACACUCAGGUGUUGUUGGGUAGGGGAGCGUUCUGUAAGCCUGCGAAGGUGGCCUGUGAGGGUUGCUGGAGGUAUCAGAAGUGCGAAUGCUGACAUAAGUAACGUUAAAGCGGGUGAAAAGCCCGCUCGCCGGAAGACCAAGGGUUCCUGUCCAACGUUAAUCGGGGCAGGGUGAGUCGACCCCUAAGGCGAGGCCGAAAGGCGUAGUCGAUGGGAAACGGGUUAAUAUUCCCGUACUUGGUGUUACUGCGAAGGGGGGACGGAGAAGGCUAUGUUGGCCGGGCGACGGUUGUCCCGGUUUAAGCGUGUAGGUGUGUGUUCCAGGUAAAUCCGGUUCACUUUAACACUGAGGCGUGAUGACGAGGCACUACGGUGCUGAAGCAACAAAUGCCCUGCUUCCAGGAAAAGCCUCUAAGCAUCAGGUAACAUCAAAUCGUACCCCAAACCGACACAGGUGGUCAGGUAGAGAAUACCAAGGCGCUUGAGAGAACUCGGGUGAAGGAACUAGGCAAAAUGGUGCCGUAACUUCGGGAGAAGGCACGCUGACACGUAGGUGAAGUGAUUUACUCAUGGAGCUGAAGUCAGUCGAAGAUACCAGCUGGCUGCAACUGUUUAUUAAAAACACAGCACUGUGCAAACACGAAAGUGGACGUAUACGGUGUGACGCCUGCCCGGUGCCGGAAGGUUAAUUGAUGGGGUCAGCGCAAGCGAAGCUCCUGAUCGAAGCCCCGGUAAACGGCGGCCGUAACUAUAACGGUCCUAAGGUAGCGAAAUUCCUUGUCGGGUAAGUUCCGACCUGCACGAAUGGCGUAAUGAUGGCCAGGCUGUCUCCACCCGAGACUCAGUGAAAUUGAACUCGCUGUGAAGAUGCAGUGUACCCGCGGCAAGACGGAAAGACCCCGUGAACCUUUACUAUAGCUUGACACUGAACAUUGAGCCUUGAUGUGUAGGAUAGGUGGGAGGCUUUGAAGUGUGGACGCCAGUCUGCAUGGAGCCGACCUUGAAAUACCACCCUUUAAUGUUUGAUGUUCUAACGUGGACCCGUAAUCCGGGUUGCGGACAGUGUCUGGUGGGUAGUUUGACUGGGGCGGUCUCCUCCUAAAGAGUAACGGAGGAGCACGAAGGUUGGCUAAUCCUGGUCGGACAUCAGGAGGUUAGUGCAAUGGCAUAAGCCAGCUUGACUGCGAGCGUGACGGCGCGAGCAGGUGCGAAAGCAGGUCAUAGUGAUCCGGUGGUUCUGAAUGGAAGGGCCAUCGCUCAACGGAUAAAAGGUACUCCGGGGAUAACAGGCUGAUACCGCCCAAGAGUUCAUAUCGACGGCGGUGUUUGGCACCUCGAUGUCGGCUCAUCACAUCCUGGGGCUGAAGUAGGUCCCAAGGGUAUGGCUGUUCGCCAUUUAAAGUGGUACGCGAGCUGGGUUUAGAACGUCGUGAGACAGUUCGGUCCCUAUCUGCCGUGGGCGCUGGAGAACUGAGGGGGGCUGCUCCUAGUACGAGAGGACCGGAGUGGACGCAUCACUGGUGUUCGGGUUGUCAUGCCAAUGGCACUGCCCGGUAGCUAAAUGCGGAAGAGAUAAGUGCUGAAAGCAUCUAAGCACGAAACUUGCCCCGAGAUGAGUUCU